rnacentral:rRNA from 1 species
GAUGAACGCUGGCGGCGUGCUUAACACAUGCAAGUCGAACGAGAAGUGAAGACGGAAACCUUCGGGCGGAAGGCUUUAUUUCGAGUGGCGGACGGGUGAGUAACGCGUGGGUAACCUGCCUCAUACAGGGGGAUAACAGUUGGAAACGACUGUUAAUACCGCAUAAGACCACAGCACCGCAUGGUGCGGGGGUAAAAACUCCGGUGGUAUGAGAUGGACCCGCGUUCGAUUAGCCAGUUGGCGGGGUAACGGCCCACCAAAGCGACGAUCGAUAGCCGAUCUGAGAGGAUGACCGGCCACAUUGGGACUGAGACACGGCCCAAACUCCUACGGGAGGCAGCAGUGGGGAAUAUUGCACAAUGGGGGAAACCCUGAUGCAGCGACGCCGCGUGAGUGAAGAAGUAUUUCGGUAUGUAAAGCUCUAUCAGCAGGGAAGAAAAGGACGGUACCUGAGUAAGAAGCCCCGGCUAACUACGU